CGAGUAUCUCGGCGUUAUUCCAUUUCUUGACCUUCAUGUACUAUAUAUUGUCCAUGAUGUUAAUCAUCGAACCAUUUGUAAGAAUUGAUAAAAAGAUAGUGGAGAUAAAACUGAUCCUAGGAGAGCUUAUGACUGAUGAAACUCUGAAUUUAGAGCAUUACCCGGAAUUAGAUAUACUUCAUAUGGAACUAUGCGAAUACGAUUUUACAUUUCAACCAAUGGGGUUGAUUACUAUGCACAGAUCCCUAAUUGCUCAGACACUGGGCGUAGUAUUGACUUAUCUCAUUAUUAUAAUACAGUUUUAGUAAUUGAAGAAAUAAGUAUCUAAAAGUGCUACACUUCGUGCUAUCAUAGAUGAACAGAUUAAAGAACAAAACCGUUAGUUGAGACAUUAAAAAAAUGUAUGUACCCUUACGACUUACGAAUUUGGCAUCUCGCUUAUUAUUCAUUUUUUUU